rnacentral:rRNA from 1 species
AGCGGCAACAGCUCAAAUUUGAAAUCUGGCCCUCUCAGGGCCCGAGUUGUAAUUUGUAGAAGAUGCUUCGGGUGCGGUCCCGGUCUAAGUUCCUUGGAAGAGGACGUCACAGAGGGUGAGAAUCCCGUAUGUGACCGGGUGCCCGCGCCCAUGUGAAGCUCUUUCGACGAGUCGAGUUGUUUGGGAAUGCAGCUCUAAAUGGGUGGUAUAUUUCAUCUAAAGCUAAAUAUUGGCCAGAGACCGAUAGCGCACAAGUAGAGUGAUCGAAAGAUGAAAAGCACUUUGGAAAGAGAGUUAAACAGUACGUGAAAUUGUUGAAAGGGAAGCGCUUGCAAUCAGACUUGCGCGCCGUUGAUCACCCCAGGUUCUCCUGGGUGCACUCGGCGGCGCUCAGGCCAGCAUCGGUUCCGGUGGUGGGAUAAAGGCCUUGGGAAUGUAGCUCCUUUCGGGGAGUGUUAUAGCCCUCGGUGCAAUGCCGCCUACUGGGACCGAGGACCGCGCUCCGGCUAGGAUGCUGGCGUAAUGGUUGUAAGCGACCCGUCUUGAAACACGGACCAAGGAGUCUAACAUCUAUGCGAGUGUUUGGGUGUCAAACCCAUACGCGGAAUGAAAGUGAACGGAGCUAAGAACCCUUUAGGGUGCAUUAGCGACCGAUCCUGAUGUCUUCGGACGGAUUUGAGUACGAGCAUAGCUGUUGGGACCCGAAAGAUGGUGAACUAUGCCUGAAUAGGGUGAAGCCAGAGGAAACUCUGGUGGAGGCUCGCAGCGGUUCUGACGUGCAAAUCGAUCGUCAAAUUUGGGCAUAGGGGCGAAAGACUAAUCGAACCAUUCCGC